GCUGAGAUGUCCGAGUGGUUAAGGAGAUCGACUCGAAAUCGAUUGUGAUUUUCACGCACAGGUUCGAAUCCUGUUCUCAGCG
rnacentral:tRNA from 1 species